ensembl:lncRNA
UGGGGCUGCAUGAGUGCUGCCGGCACAGGGGAGCUACAGGUCAUUGAGGGAACCCUGAAUGCCAACAUGUCUGGUGACAUACUGAAGAAGAGCAUGAUCCCCUCCCUUCGGAGACUGGGCCACAGGGCAGUAUUCCAACAUGAUAACGACCCCAAGAUAACCACUGCCUUGCUAAAGAAGCUGAGGUUAAAGGUGAUGGACUCUCUAAGCAUGUCUCCAGAUCUAAACCCUAUUGAGCAUCUGUGGGGCCUCCUAAAAACAGAAGGUGGAGCGCAAGGUCUCUAACAUCCACCAGCUCUGUGAUGUCGUCAUGGAGGAGUGGAAGAGGACUCCAGUGGCAACCUGUGAAGCUCUGGUGAACUCCAUGCCCCAGAGGGUUAAGGCAGUGCUGGAAAAUAAUGGUGGCCACACAAAAUAUUGAGUCUUUGGGCCCAAUUUGGACAUUUUCAUUUAGGGGUGUACUCACUUUUGUUGCUAGCGGUUUAGACAUUAAUAGCUGUGUGUUGUGUUAUUUUGAGGGGACAGUAAAUUUACACUGUUAUACAAGCUGUACACUCACUACUUUUAUGUUGUAGCAAAGUGUAAUAUCUUUGGUGCUGUCACAUGAAAAGAUAUAAUCAAAUAUUUACAAAAAUGUGAGGGGUGGACUUACUUUUGUGAGAUACUGUAUAUACAGAGGAGAACAUGAGUACACAGUGAUUUAAACCUACUGCAUCAUACCAAAAAUGUUUCCUGUUCAGUUAUAUCCUAAUCUGCUAUGCAAUUCUGUAUUUUCCUUAUUUCAGCAAAGUUGUGUUUUUAUUCUAUUGCAAACCCAUAAUAUAAGCUUGUUUUUAAUGCUUGAAAAAAAAUGUUUUCCCAUGUAAAUAUCCAAGAGGAUAUUUUGUCAAAAUGCCAAGGUUAAUACUGCAUCAGAAUCUUAAGUAAAUAAUAUGUACAUAUACUUUAUUAUAAAUUACUUUAUCAGCAGCUGGAAUGGUAUACAGAUGGAAAAGAUAAGUAUUUUAUUAGUACUUUUUGGUUAAAACUGAUGUUGUUCUCAGGCUGAGCCUUUUGACAGAUGCUCUUGUCACAAAUAUUUCUUAGUCAUGUUCUCCUAGUCGCAACAAACAAUGCUAGGAUCCCAAAUGUCACCCUGUUCUUUAGAAUACAGGGAAUAGGAUGCAAUUCAAGUCAGCUUAUGACUCUAAGUAUGAGCUCUGUUUGCGUGGAAUGAUGGGAAUAUUAGUUGAUUACUGUAUUCGUAACGGUGUAUGUUCAACUCACCUUUUCAACCAUCUCCAGUGAAACAGCAGUAUAGAUAUAUGUAUUUUGUUAUAUGACCUUUCCCCUUCAAAAUGACAUGAAAGCAAAUCUGUGUUUUGAAAUGAUGGAAAUGAUUAAAAAGAUAAAUUGGGAAAAACAAUAUCUUCACGUGUGUAUUGCCCCCAUUUUUAUGAUUGUUUUUAUCAGAAAAUCUUUUUGAGUUUUCGUGGAUAACAAACCAUAGUUUGCGAUUGCCUAUUUGCAAAAAAUUGUAUGCCUAGUGGUUCUAACAUGUUACUUAGCUAACAUGUACAAAAGUAGCUGCCAGUACUCUAGUAACCAUGGGUGUCAUUUCAGCAUUUUAUCAUUUCGUUUAUCCUUUUAUUCCAAAAUGUGUUAAUUGUAAUGUUGAUCAGUAUAACAGCAUCAUCUGUAAGUUGAAAUUCAAAUUCAUGGAACUUUUACUACCUACUGUCUAUCAUGAAAAAAAUGAUGUGACUUUACAUUUAUGUGACAUUUACAUUGUCACAUUUCCAAGGUAGCGUGUGCCACAUAUUUUUGAUAGAGCUCCCGGAGUUUCGCAAUGACAAGAACUGUUUUGGAACUGUAUGACGUUUCUUUACUGUGCGCAUGCAAUAUCGCGAGAAUUUCUCGCGAUUGACCGCCACCAUGUCGUGUAGCACGUCAUGAACAUGCCGCUAUAAA